rnacentral:rRNA from 1 species
AUUGAACGCUGGCGGCAGGCCUAACACAUGCAAGUCGAGCGAGCGGCGGACGGGUGAGUAAUGUCUGGGAACCUGCCUGAUGGAGGGGGAUAACUACUGGAAACGGUAGCUAAUACCGCAUACCAUCAGAUGUGCCCAGAUGGGAUGAGCUAGUAGGUGGGGUAACGGCUCACCGAGGCGACGAUCCCUAGCUGGUCUGAGAGGAUGACCAGCCACAAUGGAACUGAGACACGGGCCAGACCCAUACGGGAGGCAGCAGUGGGGAAUAUGGAACAAGGGGCGCAAGCCUGAUGCAGCCAUGCCGCGUGUGUGAAGAAGGCCUUCGGGUUGUAAAGCACUUUCAGCGGGGAGGCGUUACCCGCAGAAGAAGCACCGGCUAACUCCGUGCCAGCAGCCGCGGUAAUUC